rnacentral:rRNA from 1 species
UACAGAGGUCUCAAGCGUUGUUCGGAUUCAUUGGGCGUAAAGGGCGCGUAGGCGGCGGGGUAAGUCGGGUGUGAAAUCUCAGAGCUCAACUCUGAAAUGGCACUUGAUACUGCUCUGCUAGAGGACUGGAGAGGAGAUUGGAAUUCACGGUGUAGCAGUGAAAUGCGUAGAUAUCGUGAGGAAGACCGGUGGCGAAGGCGACCAUCUGGACGGAUACUGACGCUGAGACGCGAAAGCGUGGGUAGCAAACAGG